UUCCAGUAAUUUAAAAAAAAUAAUGAUCUUGUAAAUCAUAAAUACCCCCCGUCUAGAACAC
rnacentral:tRNA from 1 species